UAGGAAACGGAUGAUGACGAGAAUUUAAGGUUUGAAGGCUCUCAAGAUGAAUAUGAAGGUAACAAGGAUGCUGCACGCGUGCACUGAUGCGUGUAAAACAAAAACUCGAUGGAUAUGAAGAAGGGGAAAAGCGAAGCAUACAUGGACAGGUUCAACAACUUAUACAAGAUGCGAUUGAUCCCAA